rnacentral:rRNA from 1 species
AGAACGAACGCUGGCGGCGUGCUUAACACAUGCAAGUCGAGCGGAAAGGCCACUUCGGUGGUACUCGAGCGGCGAACGGGUGAGUAACACGUGAGUAAUCUGCCCCUGGCUUUGGGAUAGCCACCGGAAACGGUGAUUAAUACCGGAUAUGACGCGCUCUCGCAUGGGGGUGUGUGGAAAGUUUUUCGGCCAGGGAUGUGCUCGCGGCCUAUCAGCUUGAUGGUGAGGUAAUGGCUCACCAUGGCUUCGACGGGUA